rnacentral:rRNA from 1 species
GUCGAACGAGCGAGAGAGAGCUUGCUUUCUCAAGCGAGUGGCGAACCGGUGAGUAACGCGUGAGGAACCUGCCUCAAAGAGGGGGACAACAGUUGGAAACGACUGCUAAUACCGCAUAAGCCCACGACCCGGCAUCGGGUAGAGGGAAAAGGAGCAAUCCGCUUUGAGAUGGCCUCGCGUCCGAUUAGCUAGUUGGUGAGGUAACGGCCCACCAAGGCGACGAUCGGUAGCCGGACUGAGAGGUUGAACGGCCACAUUGGGACUGAGACACGGCCCAGACUCCUACGGGAGGCAGCAGUGGGGAAUAUUGCACAAUGGGGGAAACCCUGAUGCAGCGACGCCGCGUGGAGGAAGAAGGUCUUCGGAUUGUAAACUCCUGUUGUUGAGGAAGAUAAUGACGGUACUCAACAAGGAAGUGACGGCUAACUACGUGCCAGCAGCCGCGGUAAAACGUAGGUCACAAGCGUUGUCCGGAAUUACUGGGUGUAAAGGGAGCGCAGGCGGGAAGACAAGUUGGAAGUGAAAUCCAUGGGCUCAACCCAUGAACUGCUUUCAAAACUGUUUUUCUUGAGUAGUGCAGAGGUAGGCGGAAUUCCCGGUGUAGCGGUGGAAUGCGUAGAUAUCGGGAGGAACACCAGUGGCGAAGGCGGCCUACUGGGCACCAACUGACGCUGAGGCUCGAAAGUGUGGGUAGCAAACAGGAUUAGAUACCCUGGUAGUCCACACUGUAAACGAUGAUUACUAGGUGUUGGAGGAUUGACCCCUUCAGUGCCGCAGUUAACACAAUAAGUAAUCCACCUGGGGAGUACGACCGCAAGGUUGAAACUCAAAGGAAUUGACGGGGGCCCGCACAAGCAGUGGAGUAUGUGGUUUAAUUCGACGCAACGCG